GACGAACGCUGGCGGCGUGCUUAACACAUGCAAGUCGAACGGAAAGGCCCUGCUUUUGUGGGGUGCUCGAGUGGCGAACGGGUGAGUAACACGUGAGUAACCUGCCCUUGACUUUGGGAUAACUUCAGGAAACUGGGGCUAAUACCGGAUAGGAGCUCCUGCUGCAUGGUGGGGGUUGGAAAGUUUCGGCGGUUGGGGAUGGACUCGCGGCUUAUCAGCUUGUUGGUGGGGUAGUGGCUUACCAAGGCUUUGACGGGUAGCCGGCCUGAGAGGGUGACCGGCCACAUUGGGACUGGGAUACGGCCCAGGCUCCUACGGGGGGCAACAGUGGGGAAUAAUGCACAAUGGGCGGAAGCCUGAAGCAGCAACGCCGCGUGCGGGAUGGCGGCCUUCGGGUUGUAAACCGCUUUCGCCUGUGACGGAGCGUGAGUGACGGUAAUGGGUAAAGGAGCACCGGCUAACUACGUG
rnacentral:rRNA from 1 species